GAAGUCUCUUAAGGAUGAGAAGGAGGCAUUAGCUCGGAAACUGCAAUCUGAAGUAGAUAACCUUAAAACUAGGUGCAAUGAAAUGAAAAGGAUGUUGUUUGAGGACGAGGUGGAGAAAGAAAAAUUAAAAAAGCAGGUAUCUCAAUUGAAAGGUGAUCUAAAGAAGAAAGAGGAUGCAUUGAAUGGUUUAGAUAAAAAGCUCAAGGAUGCAAAUAGUCGAGUAAUAGCUACUAAUGGAAUGAAAACAAUAUCAAAGAACAACAAAGCCAUGCCCGCAUCCGCAGGCUCAAGAGAAGUUGCAAGUCUUAAAGAGAAGAUAAAGUUGCUUGAGGGUCAAAUCAAGCGGAAGGAAAAUGCACUGGAGAGCUCAACUAAUUCAUUUUUGGAGAAGGAGAGAGAUCUUCAAGACAGAAUAGAGGAGUUAGAUCAAAGAUUAGAAGAACUCAGUCAGAAUGCUGAAAGGAUCUCUGAACAAGAUUCCCGAAAGGUAGUUGCAGAAGCUCUUAGUCCAGAAGAAGAUGAAAGUCCCAAUCAA
rnacentral:misc_RNA from 1 species